rnacentral:rRNA from 1 species
CGGGACUCUCACGAGGCCUCGUAAUCGGAAUGAGUACACUUUAAAUAUUUUAACGAGGAACAAUUGGAGGGCAAGUCUGGUGCCAGCAGCCGCGGUAAUUCCAGCUCCAAUAGCGUAUACUAAAUUUGUUGCGGUUAAAAAGCUCGUAGUUGCAUUUGUGCGCCGCGCUGUCGGUGCACCGCUUCCGCGGUGAUACUGACACGUUUGCGGAGCAUAUCGUCGGUGAGCCGCCGGUCAAACGGCGGUUCAAUAUCAAAAUCCUAUCGCGGUGCUCUUCAGUGAGUGUCGAGGUGGGCCGACAAUUUUACUUUGAACAAAUUAGAGUGCUCAAAGCGGGCUCAAAACGCUGCUUGAAUAUUUCGUGCAUGGAAUAAUAGAAUAUGAUCUCGGUUCUAUUUUGUUGGUUUUCAGAACUCCGAGGUAAUGAUUAAUAGGGAUAACUGGGGGCAUUCGUAUUGCGACGUUAGAGGUGAAAUUCUUGGAUCGUCGCAAGACGAACAUCAGCGAAAGCAUUUGCCAAAGGUGUUUUCAUCAAUCAAGAACGAAAGUUAGAGGUUCGAAGGCGAUUAGAUACCGCCCUAGUUCUAACCGUAAAUAUGUCAUCUAGCGAUCCGCCGACGUUAAUCAAAUGGCUCGGCGGGCAGCUUCCGGGAAACCAAAGAUUUUGGACUCCGGGGGGAGUAUGGUUGCAAAGCUGAAACUUAAAGGAA